rnacentral:rRNA from 1 species
AGUGAACGCUGGCGGUAGGCCUAACACAUGCAAGUCGAACGGCAGCACAGUAAGAGCUUGCUCUUACGGGUGGCGAGUGGCGGACGGGUGAGGAAUACAUCGGAAUCUACUUUUUCGUGGGGGAUAACGUAGGGAAACUUACGCUAAUACCGCAUACGACCUACGGGUGAAAGCAGGGGAUCUUCGGACCUUGCGCGAUUGAAUGAGCCGAUGUCGGAUUAGCUAGUUGGCGGGGUAAAGGCCCACCAAGGCGACGAUCCGUAGCUGGUCUGAGAGGAUGAUCAGCCACACUGGAACUGAGACACGGUCCAGACUCCUACGGGAGGCAGCAGUGGGGAAUAUUGGGCAAUGGGCGAAAGCCUGAUCCAGCCAUACCGCGUGGGUGAAGAAGGCCUUCGGGUUGUAAAGCCCUUUUGUUGGGAAAGAAAAGCAGCAGAUUAAUACCCCGCUGUUCUGACGGUACCCAAAGAAUAAGCACCGGCUAACUUCGUG